CCAUUCCUGUGGCACAAUGGGUCAGUUUGUCUGGUUGUUAACCAGAAGGUUGGUUGUUCGAGCCCACCCCCGGGUGGC